GUGAAUCAUCAAAUUUUUGAACGCAAAUUGCACUCUUCGGUUUUCCGGGAGAGUAUGCCUGUUUAGGAGCCAGCCUAAAAAAAAUCGCCAUUGUUCUUGUUUUAUGGUGACUUUCGUCGGAUAUGGGUUAUCAUCAAUCUCGGUUUAAGCGACUUAAAUAUUUUUUUUAUGAUUCUACGAGUGUUUCUAGGAUUUUUCUUGUACGUUUAAGGUAUCGCAU
rnacentral:misc_RNA from 1 species